GAUGAACGCUGGCGGCGUGCCUAAUACAUGCCAGUCGAGCGAACAGACGAGGAGCUUGCUCCUCUGACGUUAGCGGCGGACGGGUGAGUAACACGUGGAUAACCUACCUAUAAGACUGGGAUAACUUCGGGAAACCGGAGCUAAUACCGGAUAAUAUAUUGAACCGCAUGGUUCAAUAGUGAAAGACGGUUUUGCUGUCACUUAUAGAUGGAUCCGCGCCGCAUUAGCUAGUUAGUAAGGUAACGGCUUACCAAGGCGACGAUGCGUAGCCGACCUGAGAGGGUGAUCGGCCACACUGGAACUGAGACACGGUCCAGACUCCUACGGGAGGCAGCAGUAGGGAAUCUUCCGCAAUGGGCGAAAGCCUGACGGAGCAACGCCGCGUGAGUGAUGAAGGUCUUCGGAUCGUAAAACUCUGUUAUUAGGGAAGAACAAAUGUGUAAGUAACUAUGCACGUCUUGACGGUACCUAAUCAGAAAGCCACGGCUAACUACGUG
rnacentral:rRNA from 1 species